GAGGGGCCAGAGGAUUCUCCAUCUACACUGGAAAGGACAGAGCACCUUGAGAGAAACACAACCGGUCUAACAAAGGACACUGCAUCACAGGUCGCAUAUUUGUGGAAACAACAGGAAACGGAAGUUGUUGUUUCUGUGGUCCCAUCUCAGAUUAGAGGUAACAACUUUGUCAUACGUCACAGUGAGUUCCUGACCCUUAGACCACACAGCUGGCUUGUUGGAGAGGUAUGUAUCCAGGUAUUAACCCCCCCCCCUCCCCCAAAAGUACUGCAUAAGGUUAACGUUAAAGCUGGGGCAGAACAUUAGUUGUUCCCUACACAUUCAGUAAGUACUGCUUUAGAUCUACAUUCCAGGCAUAUCCUCAUGACUGAAUACUGAGUAUACGUAAGUAAAAAACUCUUUAUUAACCUUUGUAUUCCAAAAAUUUAUCAUGUUUACAAAGUAAUAAAAGGUUAUUUAUUAUACUCCUCAGGUCAUUGAAAGUCUCCUGCACCACUGGGCCAUUCGGCUGAAUCUGGGGAAUAAUAUCUACAUUAUGAACCACUACACGAGCGGUGUGAUCCUCUAUGGAGAGAGAGAACUAAUCAGGAGACAAAGCUUGUCCAAGGUGAACUUUGACAACUACCGAGCCAUUUUAUCCUUUGUGAACAUUGGAAAUGUACACUGGAAGUUUCUGUACAUAAAUGCAGAUGACAGCUGUCUGUAUUUGGUCGAUCCUUCAAGAAACUCUUUGGAGCAGGAAGAGUCUGACCGUGCAGCCA